GAAGAGAAACUUGCACUGAGGGCUGACAAAGAGAGGAUGGAGCAAGAGUUGAAAGCUACAGCUUCUCCAGCAAGUUUUAUUCCCCCUCAUCCAGCAGCAUAUCAGCCGGCUGUAAAUAAGAUGGCCGUUUUCCCUAGUUAUGGUUAUGUGCCAAUGUGGCAGUAUCUACAACCAUCUUCGCGGGACACAUCUCAAGAUCAUGAGCUCAGACCUCCUGCUGCUUGAAAAUCUUGCAAGAUAAUGUAUGGCAUUUCCCCCUCCAUUCGUGUAAAUAGUGGCAACAUACUAGUCGAGUUUUUACUCUCUUAGUCAUCUCUGCCUCCUUUGGGUUUCCUCAUUUUCUCGAUAUUUAAUUUUAGGGAGGAACAUGUAUGGCAGAGAAUUUCUCUAGAUGGAAUUGGAUUUGAUUUACAUCUGCUGCGUUUAGCUCCUGCAUUUUUGUUUGUCUCUUGCAAUAGGUAGACAUUCUAGUUUUUCUGUAUCCAAACUAUGUGGUACUACUUAUUUAUGAGCAUUUAUGGAUUCUUUA
rnacentral:misc_RNA from 1 species